GAUGAACGCUGGCGGCGUGCCUAAUACAUGCAAGUCGGGCGAACAGACGAGGAGCUUGCUCCUCUGACGUUAGCGGCGGACGGGUGAGUAACACGUGGAUAACCUACCUAUAAGACUGGGAUAACUUCGGGAAACCGGAGCUAAUACCGGAUAAUAUAUUGAACCGCAUGGUUCAAUAGUGAAAGACGGUUUUGCUGUCACUUAUAGAUGGAUCCGCGCCGCAUUAGCUAGUUGGUAAGGUAACGGCUUACCAAGGCAACGAUGCGUAGCCGACCUGAGAGGGUGAUCAGCCACACUGGAACUGAGACACGGUCCAGACUCCUACGGGAGGCAGCAGUAGGGAAUCUUCCGCAAUGGGCGAAAGCUUGACGGAGCAACGCCGCGUGAGUGAUGAAGGUCUUCGGAUCGUAAAACUCUGUUAUUAGGGAAGAACAAAUGUGUAAGUAACUAUGCACGUCUUGACGGUACCUAAUCAGAAAGCCACGGCUAACUACGUG
rnacentral:rRNA from 1 species